UACAUACUGUGCGAACGUUAUUCGGAUUCACUGGGCUUAAAGGGUGUGUAGGCGGCUUGUUAAGUAGGGUGUGAAAGCCCCUGGCUCAACCAGGGAACUGCACUCUAUACUGGCGAGCUAGAGUGAGAUAGGGGUGUGUGGAACUGCCAGUGGAGCGGUGAAAUGUGUUGAUAUUGGCAGGAACGCCGGUGGCGAAAGCGACACACUGGGUCUCAACUGACGCUGAGACACGAAAGCCAGGGGAGCAAACGGG
rnacentral:rRNA from 2 species